rnacentral:rRNA from 1 species
GAGAAAGUAAAUAAGGGCGAAUGGAGGAUGCCUAGGCUUUCGGAGGCGAAGAAGGACGUGGUAAGCUGCGAAAAGCUGCGGGGAU